AGACAUGUGGCUCAAGUGGUAGAGCAUGUGCUUAGCAAACACAAGGCCCUGAGUUCAAUUCCCAGUGCUUAUA
rnacentral:tRNA from 1 species